UGGCACUCAGAGCUCUACUAUUUCAUAUCUGUGUGUGCAGAGAGUGUUGCCACUUCCUGUGCCUUCCAAGGCGCUUUCUUUGAUUGGAGAUUGCUGCCGUUUCUUCACCUUCUAUCUAGGACACUGUGUUGGAUCAAAGGAUUGGAUAUAUGGAUAAAGGUUUGAUGUUUAAAAGGGCUAACAUAGGGCGUAAAUAUGAGCUCCAAUCUGGAGAGGAUUUCUCUUUUUCUCGCGUAAUCUUUAGCUCUUCAUAUUUGAUGGGGGUGGUUCAAGAUUAACUGGCAAUCAAUGCUCGAUAUAUAUAGAUC
rnacentral:sRNA from 1 species